rnacentral:rRNA from 1 species
GAUGUUAGCGGCGGACGGGUGAGUAACACGUGGGUAACCUGCCUGUAAGACUGGGAUAACUCCGGGAAACCGGAGCUAAUACCGGAUAGUUCCUUGAACCGCAUGGUUCAAGGAUGAAAGACGGUUUCGGCUGUCACUUACAGAUGGACCCGCGGCGCAUUAGCUAGUUGGUGGGGUAAUGGCUCACCAAGGCGACGAUGCGUAGCCGACCUGAGAGGGUGAUCGGCCACACUGGGACUGAGACACGGCCCAACUCCUACGGGAGGCAGCAGUAGGGAAUCUUCCGCAAUGGACGAAAGUCUGACGGAGCAACGCCGCGUGAGUGAUGAAGGUUUUCGGAUCGUAAAGCUCUGUUGUUAGGGAAGAACAAGUGCGAGAGUAACUGCUCGCACCUUGACGGUACCUAACCAGAAAGCCACGGCUAACUACGUGCCAGCAGCCGCGGUAAUACGUAGGUGGCAAGCGUUGUCCGGAAUUAUUGGGCGUAAAGGGCUCGCAGGCGGUUUCUUAAGUCUGAUGUGAAAGCCCCCGGCUCAACCGGGGAGGGUCAUUGGAAACUGGGAAACUUGAGUGCAGAAGAGGAGAGUGGAAUUCCACGUGUAGCGGUGAAAUGCGUAGAGAUGUGGAGGAACACCAGUGGCGAAGGCGACUCUCUGGUCUGUAACUGACGCUGAGGAGCGAAAGCGUGGGGAGCGAACAGGAUUAGAUACCCUGGUAGUCCACGCCGUAAACGAUGAGUGCUAAGUGUUAGGGGGUUUCCGCCCCUUAGUGCUGCAGCUAACGCAUUAAGCACUCCGCCUGGGGAGUACGGUCGCAAGACUGAAACUCAAAGGAAUUGACGGGGGCCCGCACAAGCGGUGGAGCAUGUGGUUUAAUUCGAAGCAACGCGAAGAACCUUACCAGGUCUUGACAUCCUCUGACAACCCUAGAGAUAGGGCUUUCCCUUCGGGGACAGAGUGACAGGUGGUGCAUGGUUGUCGUCAGCUCGUGUCGUGAGAUGUUGGGUUAAGUCCCGCAACGAGCGCAACCCUUGAUCUUAGUUGCCAGCAUUCAGUUGGGCACUCUAAGGUGACUGCCGGUGACAAACCGGAGGAAGGUGGGGAUGACGUCAAAUCAUCAUGCCCCUUAUGACCUGGGCUACACACGUGCUACAAUGGACAGAACAAAGGGCUGCAAGACCGCAAGGUUUAGCCAAUCCCAUAAAUCUGUUCUCAGUUCGGAUCGCAGUCUGCAACUCGACUGCGUGAAGCUGGAAUCGCUAGUAAUCGC